rnacentral:rRNA from 1 species
GCAGUCGAACGAGAACGGGUUAUAGCUUGCUAUAACUGUCAGCUAAGUGGCGCACGGGUGAGUAAUAUAUAGUUAACCUGCCCUAGAGAAGGGGAUAACGUUUGGAAACGAACGCUAAUACCCUAUAUGCCUUUAAGACAUAAGUCUGCAAGGGAAAUAUUUAUAGCUCUAGGAUGGGACUGUACGGUAUCAGCUAGUUGGUGAGGUAAUGGCUCACCAAGGCAAUGACGCCUAACUGGUUUGAGAGGAUGAUCAGUCACACUGGAACUGAGACACGGUCCAGACUCCUACGGGAGGCAGCAGUGGGGAAUAUUGCACAAUGGAGGAAACUCUGAUGCAGCAACGCCGCGUGGAGGAUGACACUUUUCGGAGCGUAAACUCCUUUUAUAUAGGAAGAUAAUGACGGUACUAUAUGAAUAAGCACCGGCUAACUCCGUGCCAGCAGCCGCGGUAAUACGGAGGGUGCAAGCGUUACUCGGAAUCACUGGGCGUAAAGAGCGUGUAGGCGGGUUAAUAAGUUGGAAGUGAAAUCCUAUGGCUCAACCAUAGAACUGCUUUCAAAACUGUUAACCUAGAAUAUGGGAGAGGUAGAUGGAAUUUCUGGUGUAGGGGUAAAAUCCGUAGAGAUCAGAAGGAAUACCGAUUGCGAAGGCGAUCUACUGGAACAUUAUUGACGCUGAGACGCGAAAGCGUGGGGAGCAAACAGGAUUAGAUACCCUGGUAGUCCACGCCCUAAACGAUGUACACUAGUUGUUGCAAUGCUAGACAUUGCAGUAAUGCAGUUAACACAUUAAGUGUACCGCCUGGGGGAGUACGGUCGCAAGAUUAAAACUCAAAGGAAUAGACGGGG